UUGGUAUGCGAAGGGUGGCUAGGAUGGUUUAGAUAGAGUAAUACAUUUGACGUGCCAUGAUCUGUAUUAUACAUCUAGGCUAUUAACCUGAAAGUUCAUCUAACUGAGAGCCAGUGUAGCUAUGGAAAGGAUCAAAGAAUGGUUGACAUGGUGUUUAUUGAUGAACUACUUCAGGAGAAAUGCAGGGUGCAGGACACAGGAAAUGACACAUUAAAAGUCAUAAAAUGUCAAUGAUGGUGAUGGUGAUAUUGAAGGCCAGAAAGUCAGGAGUGAAGCCAGGAGGGGAGUGAUAACUGACAAAAAAUGAAGGUUCAUGGAUGAACUUACUAAAUGGAAGAAGAAUCUCAUGGAGAAGAAGAUUUUUUCAGACUAGAAGGCUGCUGAGGCAUUGUGCUGAAGACUAAAGAAUCAGGAACAGAAAUAGAAGAUGAAAAAAUUGUGACAGUUUUAUGUCCUCUUUUCCUUUCUUAAGGUUUUUGUUUCUGUCCUUGUCUCAUUGUUAACAUUUUUUUACAAUUAUGCAAAACUAAAGCAGGAAAAUUUUAUUUAUACCAAUUACUUAUAUUGCUUGCUUUUGAUUUAGAUAGCAU